AUUGAACGCUGGCGGCAUGCCUUACACAUGCAAGUCGAACGGUAACAGGUCUUCGGAUGCUGACGAGUGGCGAACGGGUGAGUAUACAUCGGAACGUGCCUAGUAGUGGGGGAUAACUACUCGAAAGAGUGGCUAAUACCGCAUGAGAUCUACGGAUGAAAGCAGGGGAUCGCAAGACCUUGUGCUACUAGAGCGGCCGAUGGCAGAUUAGGUAGUUGGUGGGAUAAAAGCUUACCAAGCCGAGGAUCUGUAGCUGGUCUGAGAGGACGAUCAGCCACACUGGGACUGGGCAGCGGCCCGAACGCCUACGGGAGGCAGCAGUGGGGAAUUUUGGACAAUGGGCGCAAGCCGGAUCCAGCAAUGCCGCGUGCAGGAUAAAGGCCUUCGGGUUGUAAACUGCUUUUGUACGGAACGAAAAGACUCUUUCUAAUAAAGAGGGUCCAUGACGGUACCGUAAGAAUAAGCACCGGCUAACUACGUGCCAGCCGCCGCAGUAAAAC
rnacentral:rRNA from 1 species